ACUGGUUAUAUUAAAGCAAUAUGAACCAGAUUCUUACAUUAGUGGUUAAAGAGGGAGUAUAUGGGGAUUCCAAAAUCAUUUGAGAAAGCUUCUGUUCUCAUUUUCAGCAUGCAUUUUGUGCUCCUCGCCUCAACUUGCACGUGUUCCAGUGCAGGGCUGGCUCCCCUCUUUCCUCUGUCCUGUCCCGUCCCAUGCUUGAUCCUCUUCCUUGGAACAGACUUUAUGAAUUUUAUGCUGCUUAUGGAGAAGCUCAUCAAGCUGACCUAUCUAGUAUUCUAUCUCACCUCUCAGCCAGUCAGAGGCUCAGAUCAUUCUCUGUUGCCCACACGACUGCCUCAUUUCUGAUGAAUAUAAUCCAGUUAGCAAGUGUUUGGAAUGACUUUAUUUUGGUUUUAUUGACUCUGACUUCAAACCACUGGUGUGUUCUUAAUGGGUGCAAAAAUUGAAGAAAAAAAAAAAAAAGAUUGGCACCGGAGAGCUUUCCACUGGUCGCACAAAAAGACAGAGCCUCUUAGUUGCACAGGUUUUUUGUAAUGAGUUGCUUUAAUGGAGGGGAACCAACUUGUUUCCCCAUCACUCAGACAGAUAACAUCAGUAAUACCAUGGGCACUGCGACAGUCUUUGAUAUGGAUUUCUGCUUUGACUGUACGGCAAUGAUGGAAAAGUGUUCAAUAUUAAACAGGGCAGAGAAUUGUGAGGGUGUUUCCAGGAAAAUUUAUAUUUAAAAAAAAAUCUCUUUUUGCUGCACAUUGCUAAUGGGUUUCACAGUACUUCUAUCUCUCCAGUUAUUGGAAAAAAAGCAGUUAUAAAUGUACUGUACCCCUGACCUCUGAUUAUGUUAGUAAUAUUUGAGUGCUGGUAUCGGGUCUGGGAAAUGUGUGUGUGAGUGAUGCUUUACCAGGGCUGGCAGAAAACAAGUAUUUCUUAUCGCAGGUUGGAAUUUGUUUUUAUCUUUUAAAUUGCAUGGGCAAUUCUCUGUGCCAUUCCUUUUUUUUUUCUUUUGUUUGUUUGUCCGUGGAAUGACCUACAGAGGUCGUUAGCUAUAACUCUUUUAACUUAUAUUUAGCUUAAAAUGAAUAUUCAUACUUAUGUACCAAUAGGAAGAUCAUGGUACAGUGAGGUAAGAUAUAAGAAGUGGGCUUUUAAACUACUAAAGCGCUCUCUCUCUUUCUCUCUCUCGUGUUAAAACAUGUAAAGAUGUACAUUGUGUGUAUUUUAGGACAAAGGUGGGAUUAUACCUAUAUGAAAUGUAAAAUUGGAAUCUUUGCCUAUUUCACUUCAAACUGCCCCAUGUAUUAAACUGAAUAAACUCAUUUUUUUAAUUCAGCAUGUACCUUUUAUUUUUAAUCCCAUAGAUGUGUGCGUGCUAAAGAGCUGCUGUGACAACCAAUCUUUUCAGAAUCAGCCAAAGUCAAGCUCUGGCCUCUCUAAGGUUACCUUCUGAGCUCCAGAGGACCCUGAGGUAAUGACCGGAAUGCCCAGAACUGAUGGCUCUGUCACUGCAGGUGGAAACACUUUGAUUAUAUUUUGUUGAUCAGUUUAGAGCUGUGGUUCCCAAAGUGUGCGGCAGUCCUCCUAGUGACCAUGGAGCUAUCGCAGAGACAUCAAGGUGAAAACCGGAGAAAACCCACGCUCCGUCCAGACAGACUGCAAGUUACCACUUAGGAUCGAAUCAGUGACUCCUUCCUGUGAGGCAAGUUUUAACCACUUGGUCAGUGUGUGGCCACCUGCUGUCUUGUUCAUGCUAACAUAAAGGACUAUAUUAAGCAGGUUACUAUGCAUCAAGUAUGAUUUAACAAUCUACUUUAAUAAAUAUGUCAAAAUAGAUUUCACACACAUAUUACAUGAUCACGAAUGUUUGGCUUUAAAAUACUGUACACAUGGGGACUGCAGAAAUUUAUGUUAGCUUUGCAGGACAGCGGCUUCCAGUGCUUUUUGUUCAAACCUUUAUGUCCCAACCUCAGAGAGAAGUUAAAAUAUGUCCAAGAGCUAAUAAGAUACUAAUUCUCAAAGGGAUUGUUUAAUGUGUUCGUGUGCACGCAAAAGUAUUAGCUACAGCCAACAACCGGUGAUUCCGUGUUCAACAUUCCUCCUCGUAGCUCAGGGAGCUACAUGAAUUGACACGCUUUUAAAUGUGCAGCGUAAAAACAAUUUCGGGAAGAAUUCCUAUCAAGAACUGCUAUGUAUUCUGUCGACACAGAGGUGCAGCCACAUCCUCAGGAGCAGCAGGCCUGUGUUUGUACCCAUCAAUCACACUGGGCCUCCUCUAACUUAAUAAGAACAGACAGGAAACCUCUGCACUUGUUUGGUGUGAACCUCUGGCACUGAGUCCAUGUAAGUCAAAUCACCUAUAACAGGGGCUGUAAUUGAGUUUCAACAUAUUUGAUAUUCUGUCAAUCUAAUUUAAACCUAAAUGAUUGUACUGUAACACACACUUGUUAUUAUCGGAAACACGGCAGCCUGCGCGCAGACCUUAAGCAGAUCAGGGGACGCGGACUCCUCACCCUGGAAGAGAAAAUUCCUGUCACCGCAGGGGUUGCUUUCAUCCCAGCCUCGGGUUACUGUAGCAAUAAGCAGAAAGGCCUCAGAACAGACAGGCGGCGGCUGCCUGUAGAAACAAAAUGGAAGGAUGAGUAAUUUCGUUCAUCACACCACCUACCUUAAUUCCCUGCGUUCGUGGUGCCACUGUCCCUUGUGGUGCAGCCCUGACCACACACCGCCUGUCUCGUAUUUCAGGCCCUUGUCGUCAUUCAGCGUAUCACAACGCCCGUCAGGAUCUCACUCGAGCUACUGCUACAUCAUGGAAGCAAAUACGCAUAUACCCAGGCCAUUGGCUUCCAUAAUAAACUAAUCACUUUGUAUCAACAUGGGCUGGGUGUAGGUUUUCCACAUGCCUCAGAGCUUUUCAUGGAGUAGCCCCAUGCUCCUGCUGCAGCGCUGUGCUGUCAACAAAAAAAAAAAAGAAAGAAAAAAAAUCCCCGUUAAUAAACUUCUUUUUGGGUGAGAUGAUUGGCAUGUAUAGAAACAAAUUCAUUAUUUUGUUUAAACAAUCAGGCCUCCGUGUUGUAAUUGCACUGCUUAUUUUUCUUUGAGAAGCUGAUUUCAAUUUUGGAGUUGUACCAGAGAAUUUGUUGUAAACUACUGAGACCGAAAGACUUACAGUUUCUUUGCCUUUGAUGAAAAGAGGAGGUCUGGAAGGCCUUGGAAGCAGACCUCAUCCCAGUGAAGUUUAGAGUCAGGGAUCAGAGGUUGACAUUUUCCUCAGGGACUUGGUGGGGUCUUGCAGCUGUAGGCUGUAAUAAGGUUAACCCUUAUUACACAUUCACAUCACUGUUUUGUGGACAUUUUCCCUCCUUUGGGUUUGGAUGUAACUUGAGUUAAGGUCUAUUACUUCAAACUACAGGAAACUCAGUCUCUCGUCUCGUAUAGAAGACAAUUGAAUUUGAAAACAUGGAGUCCACCUGUAUCUCUCCCACCCUCCCAUGAACAAGCAUAAGUCAAAUAAAGUUCUCUCCAAGGUCUUACCCAGGUCGUACAAACACGAUAUACUUUACGAGUUCAGGUCUUUUAUUCUCUUCCAGCGCUGUUUGUCCAUCGUCCACUUUAUCCUAGAGUUUCCUUUUAAUCAGAUUUUCUAGAGAAACAAAGAUGUGACAAGUGUUUUGCAACCCACAUGUCCUGCAAGACUCAUUUAGCGGAGUUCAACCACAGGUGCCUGUGUCUGUUUAAUGGCAUUAACUCCAAACUCUGGUUACACUCGGCUUCUCAAUGUAAAAAUAAACAGAAAUCAAUUGCACUCACAAGGGUGAGUCAAAAAGUGAAAACAACUGAACUAUUUUUCUGAAUAUUAUCAAGAGUAUUUUUAUUGAAGAAUUUUAACGUUGUAGAACUCUGAGGGGCAUCUUUUGCUCCAUGUCACAAACCUGACUAGUUGUCUUGUCUAAGUAUCCAUCCAUCCAUUUUCAUCCGCUUAUCGGGUCGCGGGGGCAGCAGUCGCCACCCAAAUCACAUUGCACCGUACCAACCCCCCAAACCU